GAUACCAAUUUUUUUUUUCUUUUUUUUAAUUAUUUAUUUUUAAUCUGUUUUUUUUUUUUUUUUAAAGAAGAUACACAACAACAACCACAUUCUGAAACGCAACAACAACCACAUCAGUGCAACAACAGCUUGGUAAGACUUUAAUUUCAUACGUUUUUAAGUAAUCUGUCAAUGGCAGCAGCUGCCACAACUCUUGGUAAAUAAA